rnacentral:rRNA from 1 species
ACGAACGCUGGCGGCAUGCCUAACACAUGCAAGUCGAACGAGACCUUCGGGUCUAGUGGCGCACGGGUGCGUAACGCGGGGGAACCUGCCCUUAGGUUCGGAAUAACUCCCCGAAAGGGGUGCUAAUACCGGAUAAUGUCUUCGGACCAAAGAUUUAUCGCCUUUGGAUGGGCCCGCGUUGGAUUAGCUAGUUGGUAGGGUAAAAGCCUACCAAGGCGACGAUCCAUAGCUGGGCUGAGAGGAUGAUCAGCCACACUGGGACUGAGACACGGCCCAGACUCCUACGGGAGGCAGCAGUGGGGAAUAUUGGAACAUCGGCGAAAGCCUGAUCCAGCAAUGCCGCGUGAGUGAUGAAGGCCUUAGGGUUGUAAAGCUCUUUUACCCGGGAUGAUAAUGACAGUACCGGGAGAAUAAGCUCCGGCUAACUCCGUG